UACGAAGGGGGCUAGCGUUGCUCGGAAUUACUGGGCGUAAAGCGCACGUAGGCGGCUUUUUAAGUCGGGGGUGAAAUCCUGGAGCUCAACUCCAGAACUGCCUUCGAUACUGGAAAGCUCGAGUCCGGGAGAGGUGAGUGGAACUGCGAGUGUAGAGGUGAAAUUCGUAGAUAUUCGCAAGAACACCAGUGGCGAAGGCGGCUCACUGGCCCGGUACUGACGCUGAGGAGCGAAAGCGUGGGGAGCGAACAGG
rnacentral:rRNA from 1 species